AGAGUUUGAUCAUGGCUCAGGACGAACGCUGGCGGCGUGCCUAAUACAUGCAAGUUGAACGAUGAUUUCUGGUACUUGUAUCAGAAUGAAGAGUAGCGAACGGGUGAGUAACGCGUGGGUAACCUACCUCUUAGCGGGGGACAACUAUUGGAAACGAUAGCUAAUACCGCAUAACAAUGCUUAACACAUGUUAAGCAUUUGAAAGUACCAAUUGGUACACUAGGAGAUGGACCCGCGUUGUAUUAGCUAGUUGGUAGUGUAAUGGACUACCAAGGCGAUGAUACAUAGCCGACCUGAGAGGGUGAUCGGCCACAUUGGGACUGAGACACGGCCCAAACUCCUACGGGAGGCAGCAGUAGGGAAUCUUCGGCAAUGGACGAAAGUCUGACCGAGCAACGCCGCGUGAGUGAAGAAGGUUUUCGGAUCGUAAAACUCUGUUGUUAGAGAAGAACGUUGUGUAGAGUGGAAAAUUACACAAGUGACGGUAUCUAACCAGAAAGGGACGGCUAACUACGUGCCAGCAGCCGCGGUAAUACGUAGGUCCCGAGCGUUGUCCGGAUUUAUUGGGCGUAAAGCGAGCGCAGGUGGUUUAAUAAGUCUGAUGUAAAAGGCAGUGGCUCAACCAUUGUGUGCAUUGGAAACUGUUAGACUUGAGUGCAGUAGAGGAGAGUGGAAUUCCAUGUGUAGCGGUGAAAUGCGUAGAUAUAUGGAGGAACACCGGUGGCGAAAGCGGCUCUCUGGACUGUAACUGACACUGAGGCUCGAAAGCGUGGGUAGCAAACAGGAUUAGAUACCCUGGUAGUCCACGCCGUAACCGAUGAGUGCUAGUUGUUUGGGGCUAUCCAGCCCUAAGUGACGCAGCAAACGCAUUAAGCACUCGCCUGGGGAGUACGACCGCAAGGUUGAAACUCAAAGGAAUUGACGGGGGGGCCCGCACCAAGCGGUGGAGCAUGUGUUUAUUGCGAAGCAACGCGAAGACCUUACCAGUCUUGACUACCCAGUGCUUAUUCCUAGAGAUAAGAAGUACUUCGUAACACUGAAUACAGUGUGCCAUGAUGGUCGUCAGCUCGUGUCCUUGAAUGUUGGCUUAGUCUGCAACGAGGCAACCUAUUGUUAGCUGCCAUCAUAUU
rnacentral:rRNA from 1 species